ensembl:processed_transcript Gm12610 predicted gene 12610
UUGCACCCAGAGACCAAAGGACACCGUGAUUUGAUCCCCUGAGCUGAAUGCUUUCCAUGUUCCAGGCAGUGUGACAGUGUCUCUCACGUGAGAAAGAAACAGGGAUUCUCUGUAUAGCCCUGCUGUCCUGGAACUCAUGCUGCAGAUGAGGCUGACCCUUGAAGUGAGAGAGCUGCUUGCCCCUGCCUUCUUACUGCUGAGAUUAAAGGUCUGUGUAUCAUUUUUGAGAUAAACUCAGUGUAAACUAUAAGGCAAAGACAUGUUCGAAUUUAAUCUACAUAUAACACCCAGCAUGGAGAGAAUCAGAAACCAAGAGCAUGGUGUACUCAGUCUAACCCACAGGUUAUGGAGGCAGGGCUGACACAGCGACCUCCUCAUGUGGAAUCACCCGGAACCAUUUCUGUUCCAGCUCUUCUGUUUUUUGGCAAGUGCAUGUGAGUUUCUGGAUGACUUAUACUGAUUUUAGAUCAAGCAUGAGACUCAGAAUAGUUACUGAGUGACAUAAAAUGACAGAAACACCUUUGUACUGAGCGGAACUUCUGUGUUGGUGAAAUGAUAAAUAUAAAUGCAAACGAAAACUA